rnacentral:rRNA from 1 species
GAUGAACGCUGGCGGCGUGCCUAAUACAUGCAAGUCGAGCGAACAGACGAGGAGCUUGCUCCUCUGACGUUAGCGGCGGACGGGUGAGUAACACGUGGAUAACCUACCUAUAAGACUGGGAUAACUUCGGGAAACCGGAGCUAAUACCGGAUAAUAUAUUGAACCGCAUGGUUCAAUAGUGAAAGACGGUUUUGUUGUCACUUAUAGAUGGAUCCGCGCCGCAUUAGCUAGUUGGUAAGGGAACGGCUUACCAAGGCAACGAGGCGUAGCCGACCUGCGAGGGUGAUCGGCCACACUGGAACUGAGACACGGUCCAGACUCCUACGGGAGGCAGCAGUAGGGAAUCUUCCGCAAUGUGCGAAAGCCUGACGGAGCAACGCCGCGUGAGUGAUUAAGGUCUUCGGAUCGUAAAACUCUGUUAUUAGGGAAGAACAAAUGUGUAAGUAACUAUGCACGUCUUGACGGUACCUAAUCAGAAAGCCACGGCUAACUACGUG